rnacentral:rRNA from 1 species
AACGAACGCUGGCGGCAGGCUUAACACAUGCAAGUCGAACGCAUCCUUCGGGGUGAGUGGCAGACGGGUGAGUAACGCGUGGGAACGUGCCCUUCAGUUCGGGAUAACCCAGGGAAACUUGGGCUAAUACCGGAUACGUGCGAGAGCAGAAAGAUUUAUCGCUGAUGGAUCGGCCCGCGUCUGAUUAGCUAGUUGGUGGGGUAAUGGCCCACCAAGGCGACGAUCAGUAGCUGGUCUGAGAGGAUUAUCACACACAUUGGGACUGAGACCCGGCCCAAACUCCUACGGGAGGCAGCAGUGGGGAAUAUUGGACAAUGGGCGCAAGCCUGAUCCAGCCAUGCCGCGUGAGUGAUGAAGGCCUUAGGGUUGUAAAGCUCUUUCGUCCGGGACGAUAAUGACGGUACCGGAAGAAGAAGCCCCGGCUAACUUCGUGCCAGCAGCCGCCGCCGUAA